rnacentral:tRNA from 1 species
CAGUAAAUAGUUUAAGGAAAAAUUUUAGUUUUGGAGACUAAGGAUAAGUUUUACUUUUUACUGA